rnacentral:RNase_P_RNA from 2 species
CCAGACGAUCGCGUGCACUUUGCAUGAGGAAAGUCCGGGCUCCACAGGGCGAGGAUGCCAGAUAACGUCUGGCGUAGGUAACUAUAGGGAAAGUGCAACAGAAACAUUCCGCCGAAACGGGUAAUGCCGUGGUAAGGUUGAAAUGGUGAGGUAAGAGCUCACCGGCGCCAUGGAGACAUGACGGCCGUGUAAACCCCAUCCGGAGCAAGACUAAGAAUGGGUUUGUAGUGCAGUUGCCCGCUGCCCCCAGAAGGUAAGUCGCUGGAGACUGUCAGCAAUGGCAGUACUAGAUGGAUGAUCGUUUAAUACAGAACCCGGCUUACGGUUUGCCC